UGGGGAAUAUUGGACAAUGGGCGAAAGCCUGAUCCAGCCAUGCCGCGUGUGUGAAGAAGGUCUUCGGAUUGUAAAGCACUUUAAGUUGGGAGGAAGGGCAGUAAGCGAAUACCUUGCUGUUUUGACGUUACCGACAGAAUAAGCACCGGCUAACUCUGUGCCAGCAGCCGCGGUAAUACAGAGGUUGCAAGCGUUAAUCGGAAUUACUGGGCGUAAGGCGCGCGUAGGUGGUUCGUUAAGUUGAAUGUGAAAGCCCCGGGCUCAACCUGGGCACUGCAUCCAAAACUGGCGAGCUAGAGUAGGCCAGAGGGUGGUGGAAUUUCCUGUGUAGCGGUGAAAUGCGUAGAUAUAGGAAGGAACACCAGUGGCGAAGGCGACCACCUGGGCUCAUACUGACACUGAGGUGCGAAAGCGUGGGGAGCAAACAGG
rnacentral:rRNA from 1 species